UGCUCCUCGCCCAUGCCGGAUCGGCGGGGUUCGCUAUUACCGCAGGUGGGCCCGGGCCUUUAUGAUUGUUGUUUAAGGGGUAUAGGGAGGUCAUUAAUAUUUCCCCCCAACAGUAGCUCCCGAGCCUUUGGUGGAGCAAAGGUGCUCCUCCAGAGGCUACUUUCACCGUUCGUCGGGGAUCCUUGUUCGUCCUGCAAGCCGCAGUUGAUCAGGGAUAGGGAGUGUCAUUUGUUCGGCUUGGUCGGGGAGUUUGGUCAGGCGGGGUGUCCUGUGGAUGGCUUGGUGCGGGAGGAUUCCCUAUUGUUUUGUAGGGCACUCCCACCUCGAGACCCCACAUCGCGACCACACGUGUGGUCAUUGGUUGCGAUGCUAGCCCCCGAGCCCCCGCGCAUUGCAGGAGACUGGUCGGGAGGCUAGAUCGACUUUUGAUCGUUACCCCUCAAGCGUCCGUUCGCUGAGACGGAGGGGGUGAGCCGUGCCACGCUAUCCUUGCUGAACGAACCGUGGUGCUCGUCGAGCUACGAACGGGUCGGUUCGAGUGGGGUCCCGGUCCCCGUUCGGGGGGGGGGGGGGGUCCGGCUCGGGCCAAGCUGGUGGCGUACCCCAGAUUCCGACCAGCCAGUUCAUAUAGUUCCCGAGUCCAUUCGAUCGGAUCCGGGGGCUCGUUGCCUUUCUUCGGGGAAAAACCAUGAACUUUGAUGCCAGUCCGGACUCGAACGUGAGGUUGGGACGCCCUAGGUGUCGCUUGCCCGGGUGAUGGCCGCUAGCGGACCCGUCCCUUCUCACCCCUCGCUCGGGGGAGUCCUGGGGCGGUUGUCAAACCUGUAGUGGGCCAGCCUUCGAACCCCUGGAUCGUAAUGGGCCGUAAGGGCGUUUUCAGCCCCGUAUCCCUUUUUUAUCUGUUGGUGGACCCUGGGCCGGACGUGGAGGAGGUCGCGCGCAUGCAUUUUUUGGGAGGCGAAGUAGUGGAGGGUGCUGGCCCACGAAACGAGGGAGGUGGAGAUGUUCCCUGCAGCAGAUCAUGCGCACAGUUUCCCGAAAAGGUGGGGGUGACGGCCUUCACCCUUGUCCCGGCUGGUCUCGACCCCAAUGCGUGGGGUGGGCCGACCCUGCGCUGGAGGUCCCGUGAGGACCCGCAGAGGCCCCUCUUCGUGCUGGACGAUGCCGAGGAGUGGGGUAUGUGGAAGGCGGUCCAGGGCAGGCUUGCAAAUGUCCGCGUUGCCCUGUCUUCCGCGAUGGGGGAGCUGGAUGGCAUUGUCAUCCCUGGUGGCCAGGUAUGGUGCUCUCCUUGGUGGUUAUUUUCCUCCCGUUUCUCCGUCUCUCCCGACAGUUCCUGAACGUAAAUUGUUUUGUAGGCCCUCCAGGAAUGCAGUUGGGGGAAGUCCAAGUUCCUCCAUUGUGAACGGGGGCUCUGGGAUUGUUUCUCCGCAGAGAGGCAACGGACCGGGGAGCUAAUCGGGUAGCUCGCCGCUGCCCAGCAAAUCAUCACCGACCUGCGCACACGCGAGCUGGAGGCGCGGGAGGGCGCGCGGCGGGUGGAGGAUAAGUUCCAGGCCAUCAUCGAGAAGACUCACCUCGAUCUCGAGGAGUUCCAGGCCAUUACCGAGAAGCCCGCCAUGAUGCCGAGGAGCUCGCACGGUUGAAGGGGGACCAUGAGGCCCUUCAGAAAACCGUCAAUCGUAUUCGGCACGAGCGGCAUAAGGCUUGGCAGGAGCGCGACUUCGAGGCGAGCCGGAAGGCUGAGGCCGAGAAGAUGGCGGCCGACCUUGGAGAGGAGGUCAGUCGGCUCCAUGUGCAGGUGCAGGGGCUUCAGACUGCCGUGUCCCAGGGGCUCGACCGGGAGCGUCAGCUGAAGGCUCAAUCUGAGGGUAAGGCUCUUCUCGUUCUUUUGUUUUUACAGCGUUGCGGUGGUUUCUGACUUGGCGGACUUUUCUGGACGGGCCUCACAGACGACCUCGCUCGGCUGAGAGAGGUCCUCGAUGCGGAGCACACCGAGCACGGCAACCUGCGGGACGCGAUCCACACCGUUUGUGACGGCCUCGGUGUGGUCCAGGGGGAGGGGACGAGCUCGUUGGCGGCUCGUGUCCUUGGGGCGUACCGGCGGGCCUGUGAGAUCGCUCAGGAGGCGCUCCACGUCAGUGUGAGGCGGGCUUUCGGCGUCUUCAGCUCCCACUACUCCGGCAUCAACUUCGCUGGGAUGAGCGGGGGGUACGCCUCCGGCUACUCCAAGGCCGAGCUGGACGAGAUCGAUGCGUCGGUGCUCAACCCAACGGAGGCCUUGGCGAAGCUUCUGGAUGAUGAGGCCGUCUUGCUGGAGGACCCAGGGACAAGUUAGCUGUAUUGGGCUUAGAUGCGCAAGAAUGUGUAAAUAUGUUAGUUAGUUUUGAACUUGCUUUUGUGAUGGCCGUAGAGGCCUUUUCUAUAAUUUGUCAAAAAAAGUUUUCGAUCCUCUUUCUGUUUUUUGGGUUUGGAAAGAUUAGAGUGCGGGCCGGACGCGUCAGUAAGCACCGAUGAGCGAAGGCAUCGUAGCCGCUGGGGCGUAGGUUUUUCGCAGUCCGAUCAGUCUUGCCUGAGCGUCGUUCGCGCAUUCUUUCCUUUUCAUGCCCAAACGUUUAGGAAGAGGGUCAGUUCGGAAAAAUGGUGUUUUGAGAAGACGCCAAGUGACUUGGGCCGGAGCCCUUGAUAGCCCCCGAGGGAUAUACGACCUUGGGGCAGAGCCAGGGUCAGAUAUCCCUAAGCUCAGGACGAAACUCAAACGGAAUCGACUCAAAACUACCCUUUUCCGUGAAUUAAAAGGUGACAGAAGUAUGUAUGUACAAACUUGGAAACAAUAACUAGGGGUAGAAACAUCUUAGUUGCUCUAUGUUCCAAGCGUUGGUGAAGAUCUGCCCGUCGGGGGUCGCCAGCUUGUACGUGUCUGGCCGCAGUACUUGCGCGACGAUGAAGGGGCCUUCCCACGGAGGCAUCAGCUUGUGCCGGCCUGUGUUGUCUUGGACGAGGUGAAGCACCAGGUCACCGAUGUUGAAGGCUCGGCCUCGUACCUUGCGGCUGUGGUACCGUCGUAAGGCCUGCUGGUACUUGGCUGAGUGCAGCAGAGCCACAUCGCGCACUUCGUCGAGCUGGUCUUGCGCGUCCUCGAGCGAUGCUUGGUUCCCCUGUUCGUCGUACGCCCUGACCCUCGGUGACCUGUACUCCAGGUCGGUAGGGAGGAUCGCCUCGGACCUGUAGACCAUGAAGAACGGGGUGAAGCUAGUUGCCCUACUAGGGGUCAUCCUCAGACUCCAUAGGACCACGGGGAGCUCUGCGACCCAUUGACCGCCGUACUUUUUGAGGCGGUCGAAAAUCCGUAGUUUGAGACCCUGGAGUAUCAUGCUGUUGGCCCGCUCAACCUGUCCGUUCGUGCGGGGGUGCACCACGGCCGACCAGUCCACUCGGAUGUGCUGGUCGUCGCAGAACUUGAGGAACUUCUUCCCAGUGAACUGCGUGCCGUUGUCCGUGAUGAUGGAGUUGGGGACUCUGAAGCGAUGGAUGAUGUUGGUGAAGAAUUGUACCACCUUCUCGGACUUGAUCUGCGCGAUCGGUCGUGCCUUGAUCCACUUGGAGAACUUGUCGACGGCGACAAGCAAGUGGGUGAAGCCCCCGGGCGCCUUCUUGAAGGGCCCGAUGAGGUCCAGUCCCUAGACCACGAUGGGCCACGUGAUCGGGAUGGUCUGGAGCGCCUGGGCGGGCAGAUGGGUUUGGCGCGUGAAGAAUUGGCACCCUUCGCAGGUGCGCACCACGCGGGUGGCAUCGGCGACCGCCGUUGACCAGUAGAAGCCUUGUCGGAAGGCGUUUCCGACGUGGGUUCUUGGUGCGGCAUGGUGGCCGCAGGCCUCGGCAUGGAUGUCCUGUAUCAACGCCUUUCCCUGCUUGAUCGGGAUGCAGCACUGGAGGAUGCCGGUGUGACUCUGCUUGUAUAGCUCCUGGUCGACGAUGACGAAGGAUUUGGCACGGCAUGCAAUUCUUCGCGCCUCCGUCUUAUCCGUUGGGAGCAACUCGCAGAUGAGGUAGUCAAGGUACGGGACUCUCUAGUCAGGCGGAGGGUCAGGCCCCUCUAUUGGGUUUGUGUCGAUCUCCAUGACCUCGGGGUCAGAGGGAUCAGCCUCCGGGUCUAGGAUAGGUGGCGGCUUGCCGACCUUUCCAGGGUCGGCGCCCGAGUCCGGGACAGAUGGUGCGUUGCCGACCUCUCCUAGGUUGGCGCCCGAGUCCGGGACAGGUGGCGCGUCGCCGACCCCUCCCGGCUCCUUGUAACGGAUCAAGGGCUUGUCUUGGUCGCUGAUGAAGACGCCGUCGGGGACGUGCUUUCUGCCGGAUGUCGCCUUUGCCAGCUCGUCCGCUGCUUCGUUGAAACGUCUUGCGAUGUGGUUGUGUUCCAGACCGUCGAACUUGUCUUCGAGCUUGCGGACUUCAUUGCAGUACGCCGCCAUCUUGGGGUCGUGACAGCUCCACUCCUUCAUGACUUGCUCGACGACUAGCUGAGAGUUGCCCCGUGUGUCCAGCCGCCGGAUGAAUAGUUCGAUGGCGAUGCGAAGCCCAUUGAGAAGAGCCUCGUACUCAGCGACAUUGUUAGAGGUAGGGAAGUGGAGGCGGAUACCUCAUGCACACGCCAAGAGGAGAGAUGAAGACCAGACCCGCUCCGGCGCGAGCCUUCAUCAACGACCCGUCGAAAUAAAUCGUUCAGUAUUCCUGCUUCUCCGGCGAUGAUGGUGUCUGGAUCUCCGUCCACUCUGCAACAAAGUCAGCGAGUACCUGGGACUUGAUGACUGUACGGGGGGCAUAGGUGAUGCCCUGGUCCAUAAGCUCGAGCGCCCACUUCGCGAUCCGUCCUGUGGCGUCUUGAUUCCGGAUCACCUCGCCGAGGGGGAACGACGAGACGACUGUCACCAGGUGGGAGGUGAAGUAGUGGCGCAACUUCCUCUUCGUGAUGAGGACGACGUAGAUGAGCUUCUGGAUCUACGGGUAGCGGGCCUUGGACUCGAACAAGACCUCACUGACGAAGUACACCAGGCGCUGCACUUUGAGGGCGUGUCCCUCCUCUUCCCACUCCACCACUAGAGCCACGCUAACCACCUGGGGUGGUCGCUGCGAUGUAGAGCAAGAGUGGCUCUCUGUCGGUCGACGGGACCAGGAUCGGGGCCUUCGUCAGGAGGUUUUAGAGUCGGUCAAGCGCCUACUGGGCCUCGGCGGUCCACACAAAGCGGUCGGUUUUCUUCAGGAGUCGGUAGAGAGGGAGCCCCCGUUCGCCUAGGCGUGAGAUGAAGCGGCUCAGGGCCGCAAGACAUCCUGUGACGCGCUGAACUCCCUUUAUGUUUUGGAUCGGCCCCAUAUCACUGAUAGCCGCUAUCUUCUCCGGGUUGGCUUCGAUGCCACGCACGGAGACGAUGAAGCCAAGCAGCAUGCCCCUCAGAACUCCAAAAAUGCACUUUUCAGGAUUGAGUUUGAUGCGCUUGUCUCUCAUCCUUUCGAAGGCUAGUUCAAGGUUGGGGAUGAGCUGGUCGCCCUUCCUGGACUUGACCACGAUGUCGUCUACGUAGGCCUCAACGGUUCGCCCGAUGAGGUCCCCGAAACACUUAAGCAUACAUCGCUGGAACGUAGCCCCCGCGUUUUUGAGGCCGAACGUAAUCUUGACGUAGUAGUAGGGCUCGAAAGGGGUGAUGAAAGAGGUCGUGAGCUGGUCGGACUCUUUCAUCACGAUUUGAUGGUAGCCGGAAUACGCGUCAAGGAAGCUAAGGGUUUCGCACCCUGCGGUUGAGUCGACUAUCUGAUCUAUGCGUGGCAAAGGAAACAGGUCCUUGGGACACACCUAGUUGAGACCUGUAUAGUCAACACACAUUCUCCAUUUCUCAUUCUUUUUUCGUACAAGAACAGGAUUGGCUAACCACUCGGGGUGGUACACUUCCUUAAUGAAUCCGGCCGCCAAAAGCUUCUGAAGCUCCUCGCCGAUGGCCUUGCGCCUCUCCUCGUCGAAGCGGUGCAAUCCUUUUUUCACCGGUUUGGAGCCGGCCUUGAUGUUCAAGGAGUGCUCGGCGACUUCCCUCGGGAUGCUUGGUAUGUCCGAGGGUUUCCACGCGAAAACAUCGCUGUUCGCGCGGAGGAAGUCGACGAGCGCGCUUUCCUAUUUGGGAUAUAGGGUAGCGCCUAUCCGUACCGUCCUGCCGUCGGUGCUGCUGGGAUCUGCCCGAGAGGUAUUGCCUGUUUCCCCGGCACGACGCCGUGGAACAGCACCUUGCUGGGGCAGAGGCGGGAGCGGUCGAUCCCCAUGGCGUCGAGUCUUGGCGUAGAGGAUGUUGAGGCUGCUGCCUCCGUCCAUGAGCACCUUGGUGAGGCGCGUCGUGCCGACGACGGGGUCGACGACGAGCGGGUAGUGUCCUGGCUGCAGGACGCGCCCCGGGUGGUCGGACCGAUCGAAGGUGAUGGCGGAUCCUGACCAGUCGAGGAAGGCCGGCGUAGCAGGCUCGGCCGCGUAGACCUUGCAGCGCUCCAGCUUCUGGCGGCGCUUGGAGUUGUAAGCCGUCGGGCCACCGAAGAUCAUGAAGCAGCCGUCCACCUUGGGGAAACCGUCUUCCUUCUCUUCGCCGUCCUUCUUCUCCUCGUCGGGCUUCCAUCUCUGGUCACCCUUCGCAAGGUUGCCUACAAAGUACCUCUUCAUGAGGUUGCAGUCCUUGUAGGUGUGCUUCACGGGGAACUCGUGGUUCGGGCACGGUCCCUCGAGCAGCUUGUCGAAGAAGCUGGGGGUGCCCUCUAGGGGCGGCUGUCCCCGCUUGCGCUCAAUAGCAGCCACGAGGGGAGCCUCGCGCCGUUGCUUGUUCUUCUUCUUCUGCUGACGGUUGGAGGUGCCCUCGUCGGCGUCCUCCUGCCGCUUCGCCUUGCCUUUGGAGCGGUCAAAGAUCGCUCCCACGGCCUCUUCACUCGAGGCCAAGCUGGUGGCGAUGUUGAGGAGCUCCUCUGUGGUCCGCGGGCCUCGGCGCCCAAGCUCGUGGACGAGGGGCUGGCAGGAGGUUCCUGCUAGGAAAGCCCCUAUGACGUCGGCGUCUGCGACGUUGGAGAGCUCGGUGCGCUUCCUGGAGAAGCGUCGGAUGUAGUCCCGGAGGGACUCGUCUGACCCCUGGCGGCAGCCCCGGAGGUCCCAGGAAUUGCCAGGGCGCAUGUACGUGCCCCGGAAGUUUCCCACGAAUAUCUCCUUCAGGUCGUUCUAGCUGCGGAUCUGACCGGAAGGGAUAUGUUCCAGCCAGGCUCGCGCCAAGUCGGCCAAAAAGAGUGGAAGGUUGCGGAUGAUGAACAGGUCAUCGUCCGCCCCACCGGCCUGACAUGCAAGCCGGUAGUCGCUGAGCCAUAGCCCGAGGUUUGUCUCCCCGGAGUACUUGGCCACGUUCGUUGGUUGCCUGAAGCGCGGCAGGAACGGCGCGUUCAGGAUGCGCGCGGAGAAGGCCCAGGGCCCCGCUAGGUCGGAGCUCGGGCUGCGAUCUUCUUUGCUGUCGUAGCGGCCACCACGGUGGACAUGGUAGCCGCGGUCCACCCCCUCCUCCCUGUCCGCACGGGAGCGCCUCCGCGCGUCCAGGGUGUCGCGGGCGUCGCGGACGGGACCGACACGCCGGGGAACGGACUGAGCCCUGCCUCCUGCGGGCGGCGGCGUCCGUCGAGCGGGCACGGCCUGGUUCGCCCUAGGAGGAGGCUGGUGAAUAGACUCCUCCCGCCUCUCAGGGGGUGCGGUGGGCGCAGCCCUACUGGCGUUUUGCUCGCAUCGCCGGGACGCGGAGCUUUCCGCUUGCUGGACGGCGGCGCAUUCGAGCAGGUUGCGCACCUCUUGGUGCGCCUGAUGCUCCUCGGGCAUCGCCGGCUCGGGGAGUCAUCGGAGUAGGGCCGCCGCAGCGGCGAUGUUCUGGCUGGCGCGAGCGAAGAGCUGAGGGCACUCUUCGUCCGCUCAGAUGCGCUGCUGGACGUCGCGCGCCCGUUGUCGGGCCCCGCCUUCGUUGCGGGGGUGCUCGACCUCCUAGCGGGGCGUCGCGCGUGCCUCUGGCUGUCGGGGUCGCACUGGGGCCCUGGCAAGGGCUCCGGUCGUAGCCGCGGCGCGCGGUGGGGGAGUCCUCUGCCUCCCUUUGAUGCCGUUAUCAUUGGACCCCUCGGAGUGCACGUCGGCCACGAAGCACUCGCGCGAGGGGUGGUGGCUCUCGUUGUUGGAGCCGGCGUCGAAAGUCGUCCUCGCCACGCCCACGAGCUCGUUGCUCGCAGGCGGCACGGUCUUGGACCGCGCCAAGAGACGACCAUAGGUCACCGCGACAUUGCGCAUCCCGAAGAGCCGCCCCUCCGAGGGAGGCCCCUCGGCGUGCGCCCGGCCGCUCGCCGCUAUUCCGGCGGCGGAGCCGGAGGUUGUGGGACGAGCGGGCAAGACGAGGAGAGGGAUCAACUCGAUCCCCUCCCCGGUGGCAAGGAAGUACAGACUCCCGAAGCGGAUCAGGGAGCCCGGAUCGAAGCUGGCAUCGUGGUUGGCCAUCUGAAGCCGGUGAUGUACGUGCAAAGGUCCCCUACCUGACGCGCCAACUGCCGUUAUUGAGAUUAGCGGAUCAAGGCUAAGACUAGUAAAUUUCUUUUAUGCGCGUAAGGCUUCGGAUGGUGGCGUGGGAGACACGGGGUUUAGACUGGUUCGAGCAAGGGAGAGCCCUACGUCCAGUAUCGAGAGCUGCUCGUGUUGCCCACGCGGGGUCUGUAGUAGGGGUUACAGGAGGGCGAGAGGGGGAGCUGGUCCUAGGUCCCUUGGGUGUGUACUGAUGCUCUAAAGGAGAGUGUGAAUGUGUUCUGUUGGCUUGAGAGAGUCCCCCGUCUCAGGGCCCCCGAUUCUCCUUUUAUAGCGUAAGGAAGCCAUCGGGGUUACAAGUGAGACCGGGUGUGAGGAGAAGUAAAAGAGAUAAGCUAAGUUAAGUAAAAUACAACAUAAGGAGAGGGACCAAGUUCCCGGGUCGCCGACCUCCUCCCCGGCCUUCGGCUCCUAUCAGCGCGUCCGCCGGAAGAGGAUGGCUGCCUUCGGAUCCUGUUGAUCAUCUCCUUGGUGGCCGUUGCCGCCAGGCAUGAUGAUGGUGUUCGGUUGUGGCAUCUGUGCCCGUCAGGGGAGGCGGUUGGUCCUGUUAUCUUGCUGAUGGCCCGUGGGACGCGGAAGUCGCAUCUCUGUCACCGGAUGCACGGGGCACGAGCACGGGCAGAGCUUCCUCCUUUGCCGGGCGGCGCAGGCCAUAAGUACCCUGCGGCGAAUCGGGAGAGCCGUGACCACUGUAGCCCGUGCCGUACGGUCGUGCAUGAGUACUUGCGACGGGUCGCGUCGGGGGCGCGAGCGCCUUUCUGUGCGCUAGAGCCGCAACGCAUUUAUGGCGAGGUCGACAGGGGACCCACGAGAUCCGCACCCUGAUCUUCCACUCUGCGCCCGAGGUGAGUAUUUGUCUUGUGGUCCCGGACGAGUCCGACCCCCUGCGUCCUGGGUCGGGCAAGGCGGAGACUUUCGGCGGGGGGUCGGGCGCUCCCGUCCGUAGGCCCGUGGGUCAGGCGAGGCGGAGCGCGACUCUCCCCUCCUGUGUUGGGCUGACGGUAGUCUUUAUUACCUUAGGUGGGCCUGGGCCUCUAUGAUUGUUGUUUUCAUGGGCUUUAGGAGGUCGUUAAUAUUUCCCCCCAACAGGCUGCGAUCUUCUUCGCUGUCGUAGCGACCACCACGGUGGACGUGGGCCGUGGUCUGCGCCAUCCUCUUUGUCAGCGCGGGAGCGCCUUCGCGCGUCCAGAGUGUCGCGGGCGUCGCGGACGGGACCGACGUGCCGAUGGACGGAUUGUGCUCCGUCUCCUGCGGGCAGCGGUGUUCGUCGAGCGGGCGCGGCCCGAUUCCCACCGGGAGGAGGCUGGUGAACAUACUCCCCACGCCUUUCGGGAGGCACGGUGGGCGCUCCCCUGCUGGCAUUGUGACCGCAUCGUCGGGACGCGGAGCUUUCCGCCUGCUGGACAGCGGCGCACUCGAGCAGGUUGCGCACCUCUUGGUGCGCUUGAUGCUCCUCGGGCGUCACCGGCUCAGGGAGUCAUUGGAGUAGGGCCGCCGCUGCGGCAAUGUUCUGGCUGGCGCGGGCGAAGAGUUGAGGGCGAUCCUUGUCCCCGCAGAUGCGCCGCUGGACGUCGCGCACCCGUUGACAUGCCCCGCCUUUGUUGCGGGGACGCUCGACCACCUAGUGGGGCACCGCGCGUGCCUCCGGCUGACUUGGCACUCUGGGGCCCUGGCGAGGGCCCCGGUUGUGGCUGCGGCGCACGGUGGGGGAGUGCACUACCUUCCUGCGGUCUCAUUGUCGUUGGACCCUUCGGAGUGUACAUCAGCCAUGAAGCACUCUCGCGAGGGGUGGUGGCUCCCGUUGUCGGAGCUGGCGUCGGAGACUGUCCUCGCCACGCCCACGAACUUGUUGUUCGCGGGUGGCAUGAUCAUGGACCGCACCAGGAGACAACCAUAGGUCGUCGUGGCAUUGUGCAGCCCAAAGGGCCACCCCUUCGAAGGAGGCCCCGUGACACGCGCCCGGCUGCUCACCACCAUUUCGGCGGUGGAGCCGGAGAUGACGGGGCGAGCGGGCAGGACAAGGAGAGGGAUCAGCUCGAUUCCCUCCCCCGUGGCGAGGAAGUCCAAUCUCCCGAAGCGGACAAGGGAGCCGGGAGCAAAGCUAGCAUUGCGGUUGGCCAUCUGAAGCCGGUGAUGUACGCGCAAAUGUCCCCUACUUGGCGUGCCAACUGUCGUUGUCGAGAUUAGCGGAUAAAGACUACGGCAAGUAAAUUUCUUUUAUGCGCGUAAGGCUUCGGAUGGUGGUGCGAGAGAACAUGAGGUUAGACUGGUUCGGGCAGGAAUAGCCCUACGUCCAGUAUGAGGAGCUGCUCGUGUUACUCAUGCGAGGUCUGUAGUAGGGGUUACAAACGGGCGAGAGAGGGAGCUGGUCCCAAGUCUCUUGGGUGUGCACUGAUGCUCGUGAGGAGAGGGUGUGGGUUCUGUUGGCUUGAGAGUCCUGCUGUUCUCGAGGCCCCUGUUCCUCCUUUUAUAGCGCAAGGAGAACACAGGAGUUACAGGCGAGCCAGGCCUUUGGAGAAGUAAAAGAGAUAAGCUAAGUAAAGUAAAAAACAGGGAAAAGUACUGAGUCCCCAGGUCGCCGCCUUUCUCUCCGAUCUUCGUCUCUCGUCAGCGUGGCCACCGGAAGGGGGUGGCUGCCGUCGGAUCUUGUCGGCAAUCCACUGGUCGACCGUCGUUGCCAGGCAUGAUGAUGGUGCUCGGCCGCCGCAACUGUGCUUGUCGUGGGGGACGACUGACCCCUGUAGUCCUGCGUAUCGUUCGUGGAGCAUGGACGUCGUGUAUCUGUCGCCGGACUGAGCGCGAAAAUGGGCGGCGCUCCCUCCUGUGCUGGGGGACGCAUGUAAUGAGUGCCCUAUGGCGCACAGGGGAGGCCGCAGCCGCUGUAGCCUGUGCGGUCGUGGCUAAAGUGUCCCGUCCAGGUACUUGUGGCGGGUCACGUCGAGGAGCGCGGGCGCCUUUCUGCGAGCCAGAGCCGCGGCGCAUUUAUGGCGAGAUUGGUGGGGGGCCACGAGAUCCGCGCCCUCGUCUGUUGGUCUGCGCCCGAGGCGGAUCCUCAUCUUGUGGGCCCGGAUGAGUCUGACCCCCUAUGCCCGGGGUCGGGCGAGGCGGAGCCUUGCGUCGAGGGGUUGGGCGUGUCUGACCCCGGGACCUUGGGUCGAGCGAGGCGGAGUGGUAUGCUCCUCACCCAUGCUAGGUCGGCAGGGUUCGCUAUUACCGCAGGUGGACCCGGGCCUUUAUGAUUGUUGUUUAAAGGGUAUAGGGAGGUCGUUAAUAUUUCCCCCCAACAGCUCCGGAGGUGUAUAUUUAAAGAUGCUUUUUGCUAAGAUCAUAUCUGUAUUGCUUUGCUAUCAAUACUUAGAAUUACAACAUAUGCAUAGUCUAGGUUGCUCAAGAUUGGUUACCUCUGCUC
rnacentral:lncRNA from 1 species